rnacentral:rRNA from 1 species
GUCGGGGGCGAUGGACGGCGCACCGGAGAAUCGAAGGCUUCCCCGAGACAUGGGGGCCGUCCGGUCGCCACGCUUUCUGUCGUCUUCUACGCAUUUGUCUCUCGCCCGAAGGACGCCGCAGCCGGUUGGGUAGCUGCAAGCGCGACGGCCUGAGGGGCGGACGAUGGCAGGUGGCCGGUGUCGGGUUCGUCCCGUUCCGCCGGUUGUUAGCCGGUCCGCCAGUGGCUCGUCACCCGACCGUGGUGUCACGAGGCCCCGAUGGGGCUUCGACGUCUCCUCCUACCCAGAGAUGCGGGACAGAGCGUCGCAGUUGCCUUCCGCCGCCGGUCGCACGUCACCAGACUGUGGACCGUGCGGUCGAACAAGGAGGGCGCCGAUGGCGAUGCCGGACCCGUGGGAGAAGCGGAGGCUCGCGGCGAGUAGGUCGGUCACCCACCCGACCCGUCUUGAAACACGGACCAAGGAGUCUAACAUGUGCGCGAGUCAAUGGGACUUGAAUAGGCCCAGAGGCGCAAUGAAAGCAAAGGACGCGCAGAACGCCGUCCGAGUUGGGAUCCGGGUACCCCCUCACGGGGGCCGGCGCACCAACGACCCGUCCUAUCCGGCUCGUCCGGUUGGGCGGAGUGUGAGCGCACACGUUGGGACCCGAAAGAUGGUGAACUAUGCCCGGGCAGGACGAGGCCAGAGGAAACUCUGGUGGAGGUCCGCA